ACAGAGGGUGCAAGCGUUAAUCGGAAUUACUGGGCGUAAAGCGCACGUAGGCGGUUGGUUAAGUCAGAUGUGAAAGCCCCGGGCUCAACCUGGGAAUUGCAUUUGAAACUGGCCAACUAGAGUAUGUGAGAGGGGGGUAGAAUUCCAAGUGUAGCGGUGAAAUGCGUAGAGAUUUGGAGGAAUACCAGUGGCGAAGGCGGCCCCCUGGCACAAUACUGACGCUCAGGUGCGAAAGCGUGGGGAGCAAACAGG
rnacentral:rRNA from 1 species